rnacentral:rRNA from 1 species
GCCUGAGAGGGUAAUCGGCCACAUUGGGACUGAGACACGGCCCAAACUCCUACGGGAGGCAGCAGUAGGGAAUUCUUCCACAAUGGACGAAAGUCUGAUGGAGCAACGCCGCGUGAGUGAAGAAGGGUUUCGGCUCGUAAAACUCUGUUGUUAAAGAAGAACAUAUCUGAGAGUAACUGUUCAGGUAUUGACGGUAUUUAACCAGAAAGCCACGGCUAACUACGUGCCAGCAGCCGCGGUAAUACGUAGGUGGCAAGCGUUGUCCGGAUUUAUUGGGCGUAAAGCGAGCGCAGGCGGUUUUUUAAGUCUGAUGUGAAAGCCUUCGGCUCAACCGAAGAAGUGCAUCGGAAACUGGGAAACUUGAGUGCAGAAGAGGACAGUGGAACUCCAUGUGUAGCGGUGAAAUGCGUAGAUAUAUGGAAGAACACCAGUGGCGAAGGCGGCUGUCUGGUCUGUAACUGACGCUGAGGCUCGAAAGUAUGGGUAGCAAACAGGAUUAGAUACCCUGGUAGUCCAUACCGUAAACGAUGAAUGCUAAGUGUUGGAGGGUUUCCGCCCUUCAGUGCUGCAGCUAACGCAUUAAGCAUUCCGCCUGGGGAGUACGGCCGCAAGGCUGAAACUCAAAGGAAUUGACGGGGGCCCGCACAAGCGGUGGAGCAUGUGGUUUAAUUCGAAGCUACGCGAAGAACCUUACCAGGUCUUGACAUACUAUGCAAAUCUAAGAGAUUAGACGUUCCCUUCGGGGACAUGGAUACAGGUGGUGCAUGGUUGUCGUCAGCUCGUGUCGUGAGAUGUUGGGUUAAGUCCCGCAACGAGCGCAACCCUUAUUAUCAGUUGCCAGCAUUAAGUUGGGCACUCUGGUGAGACUGCCGGUGACAAACCGGAGGAAGGUGGGGAUGACGUCAAAUCAUCAUGCCCCUUAUGACCUGGGCUACACACGUGCUACAAUGGAUGGUACAACGAGUUGCGAACUCGCGAGAGUAAGCUAAUCUCUUAAAGCCAUUCUCAGUUCGGAUUGUAGGCUGCAACUCGCCUACAUGAAGUCGGAAUCGCUAGUAAUCGCGGAUCAGCAUGCCGCGGUGAAUACGUUCCCGGGCCUUGUACACACCGCCCGUCACACCAUGAGAGUUUGUAACACCCAAAGUCGGUGGGGUAACCUUUAGUAGCCGAGCUGAUUGACUUGGCAAAUAACUUAUUCGUUUACCGCCCCU